CUGGGUUGCUGGAGGUGUGAGGCAGCACACCACUGUUCCUCCCAGAGCAGGAACACUGAGGGUGACAGUAAAGUUGCAUGGAUAAGCUACAUGACUAAGAUUCUAUCACUAGGGGCAAUUUACAGCGGCUGAUUAACCAACCAACCUGCAUGUCUUUGGGACUUGGGAGGAAACUGGAACACUUGGAGGAAACCCAUGCAGUCACAUCUUGUAGCAUCUGCGAGUGACCCCACAAUACUGUGAGAUGCGGGAUUAGCAAAGGAAGCAGGACGCUGCAGCAUGACAUUGUGGUGUGAAAGAAGCUUUGAA